UACGUAGGUGACCAGCGUUGUCCGGAUUUACUGGGCGUAAAGAGCGCGCAGGCGGUCGUUCAAGUCGAGUGUGAAAGCCCCCGGCUCAACUGGGGAGGGUCAUUCGAUACUGAUCGACUUGAGGGCAGGAGAGGGAAGUGGAAUUCCCGGUGUAGUGGUGAAAUGCGUAGAUAUCGGGAGGAACACCAGUGGCGAAGGCGACUUCCUGGCCUGUUCUUGACGCUGAGGCGCGAAAGCUAGGGGAGCAAACGGG
rnacentral:rRNA from 1 species